rnacentral:tRNA from 1 species
GGUCUUGCAUUCACUGUGUGAUUAUAGAAUGCAAUUCUGUAGGGGUAUUAUUUCAUAUCAAGGCCU